GAUGAACGCUAGCUACAGGCUUAACACAUGCAAGUCGAGGGGUAGCAGGGUAGCAAUACCGCUGACGACCGGCGCACGGGUGAGUAACACGUAUCCACCCUUCCCAUAACUCGGGGAUAGCCUUUCGAAAGAAAGAUUAAUACCCGAUAGUACUUAUAUAGGGCAUCCUACAUAAGUUAAAGAUUUAUUGGUUAUGGAUGGGGAUGCGUUCCAUUAGAUAGUUGGUGAGGUAACGGCUCACCAAGUCUUCGAUGGAUAGGGGUUCUGAGAGGAAGGUCCCCCACAUUGGUACUGAGACACGGACCAAACUCCUACGGGAGGCAGCAGUGAGGAAUAUUGGUCAAUGGGCGAGAGCCUGAACCAGCCAAGUAGCGUGAAGGAUGAGGGUCCUAUGGAUUGUAAACUUCUUUUAUAGUAGAAUAAAGUGAUCCACGUGUGGAUUUUUGUAUGUAUACUAUGAAUAAGGAUCGGCUAACUCCGUGCCAGCCGCCGCAGUAA
rnacentral:rRNA from 1 species